rnacentral:pre_miRNA from 1 species
GCGUCAAAAUUUACUGUUUUGUUCCCACUCUUCAAACUGCCACCAAAGUUAUAGCUUUGGUGGCAGUUUGAAGAGUAGGAACAAAGCAGUAAAUCUUGACGC